rnacentral:rRNA from 1 species
AUUGAACGCUGGCGGCAUGCCUUACACAUGCAAGUCGAACGGUAACGCGGGGCAACCUGGCGACGAGUGGCGAACGGGUGAGUAAAGCAUCGGAACGUGCCCAGUAGUGGGGGAUAGCCCGGCGAAAGCCGGAUUAAUACCGCAUACGACCUACGGGUGAAAGGGGGGGAUCGCAAGACCUCUCGCUAUUGGAGCGGCCGAUGUCAGAUUAGGUAGUUGGUGGGGUAAAGGCCUACCAAGCCGACGAUCUGUAGCUGGUCUGAGAGGACGACCAGCCACACUGGGACUGAGACACGGCCCAGACUCCUACGGGAGGCAGCAGUGGGGAAUUUUGGACAAUGGGCGCAAGCCUGAUCCAGCCAUGCCGCGUGCGGGAAGAAGGCCUCGGUUGUAACGCUUUGUCAGGGAAGAAACGACUCUGGGAGUAAUAACCCUCGGGGUAAGUGACGGUACCUGAAGAAUAAGACACCGGCUAACUACGU